rnacentral:rRNA from 1 species
CUUAACGGGGCGAGGUGCGUCGAUACGACCCCGCUGGAGGCAGUCUGAGGUUGGCAGAAUUCCGAGUGUAGUGGUGAAAUACGUAGAGAUUCGGAGGAAUGCCGGUGGCGUAAGCGGCCAACUCCUGCUGGCCUGACGCUGAGGCACGAAAGCGUGGGGAGCGAACCGGAUUAGAUACCCGGGUAGUCCACGCGGUAAACGAUGUCGGCUCGGCGUGCGUCGAUGAGUAUCAUUGAUGCGUGCCUAAGCUCACGCGGUAAGCCGACCGCCUGGGAACUACGAGCGCAAGCUUAAAACUCAAAGGAAUUGACGGGGGCCCGCACAAGCAGCGGAGCGUGUGGUUUAAUUCGAUGCAACGCGAAGAACCUUACCCAGGGUUGACAUGGUGCUGCAAGCUCUCGGAAACGGGAGGCCUUCGAGGGCGCACCACAGGUGCUGCAUGGCUGUCGUCAGCUCGUGUCGUGAGAUGGUGGGUUCAGUCCCGCAACGAGCGCAACCCUCGCCGUCAGUUAUUCGUGUCUGACGGGACUGCCAACGGUUACGUUGGAGGAAGGCGGGGAUGACGUCAAGUCCGCAUGGCCCUUACCUCUGGGGCGACACACACGCUACAAUGGCCAGGACAAUGCGUUGCAAACGCGCGAGCGGGAGCUAAUCGCCAAACCUGGCCCCAGUGCAGAUCGGGGGCUGCAACUCGCCCCCGUG